rnacentral:rRNA from 1 species
GCUUAACACAUGCAAGUCGAGGGGCAGCAUUUCAGUUUGCUUGCAAACUGGAGAUGGCGACCGGCGCACGGGUGAGUAACACGUAUCCAACCUGCCGAUAACUCGGGGAUAGCCUUUCGAAAGAAAGAUUAAUACCCGAUGGUAUAAUCAGACCGCAUGGUCUUGUUAUUAAAGAAUUUCGGUUAUCGAUGGGGAUGCGUUCCAUUAGGCAGUUGGUGAGGUAACGGCUCACCAAACCUUCGAUGGAUAGGGGUUCUGAGAGGAAGGUCCCCCACAUUGGAACUGAGACACGGUCCAAACUCCUACGGGAGGCAGCAGUGAGGAAUAUUGGUCAAUGGGCGCAGGCCUGAACCAGCCAAGUAGCGUGAAGGAUGACUGCCCUAUGGGUUGUAAACUUCUUUUAUAUGGGAAUAAAGUUUUCCACGUGUGGAAUUUUGUAUGUACCAUAUGAAUAAGGAUCGGCUAACUCCGUGCCAGCAGCCGCGGUAAUACGGAGGAUCCGAGCGUUAUCCGGAUUUAUUGGGUUUAAAGGGAGCGUAGGUGGACAGUUAAGUCAGUUGUGAAAGUUUGCGGCUCAACCGUAAAAUUGCAGUUGAUACUGGCUGUCUUGAGUACAGUAGAGGUGGGCGGAAUUCGUGGUGUAGCGGUGAAAUGCCUAGAUAUCACGAAGAACUCCGAUUGCGAAGGCAGCUCACUGGACUGCAACUGACACUGAUGCUCGAAAGUGUGGGUAUCAAACAGGAUUAGAUACCCUGGUAGUCCACACAGUAAACGAUGAAUACUCGCUGUUUGCGAUAUACAGUAAGCGGCCAAGCGAAAGCAUUAAGUAUUCCACCUGGGGAGUACGCCGGCAACGGUGAAACUCAAAGGAAUUGACGGGGGCCCGCACAAGCGGAGGAACAUGUGGUUUAAUUCGAUGAUACGCGAGGAACCUUACCCGGGCUUAAAUUGCAUUUGAAUAUAUUGGAAACAGUAUAGCCGUAAGGCAAAUGUGAAGGUGCUGCAUGGUUGUCGUCAGCUCGUGCCGUGAGGUGUCGGCUUAAGUGCCAUAACGAGCGCAACCCUUAUCUUUAGUUACUAACAGGUCAUGCUGAGGACUCUAGAGAGACUGCCGUCGUAAGAUGUGAGGAAGGUGGGGAUGACGUCAAAUCAGCACGGCCCUUACGUCCGGGGCUACACACGUGUUACAAUGGGGGGUACAGAAGGCAGCUACCUGGUGACAGGAUGCUAAUCCCAAAAGCCUCUCUCAGUUCGGAUCGAAGUCUGCAACCCGACUUCGUGAAGCUGGAUUCGCUAGUAAUCGCGCAUCAGCCAUGGCGCGGUGAAUACGUUCCCGGGCCUUGUACACACCGCCCGUCAAGCCAUGAAAGCCGGGGGUACCUGAAGUACGUAACCGCAAGGAGCGUCCUAGGGUAAAACUGGUAAUUGGGGCU